GAUGAACGCUGGCUCCAGGCUUAACACAUGCCAGUCGAGGGGAAACGACGGGGAAGCUUGCUUCCCCGGGCGUCGACCGGCGCACGGGUGAGUAACGCGUAUCCAACCUGCCUCUGACUGAGGGAUAACCCGUCGAAAGUCGGCCUAAUACCUCAUGGCAUCGUCUGCGGGCAUCCAACGACGAUUAAAGAUUUCAUCGGUCAGAGAUGGGGAUGCGUCUGAUUAGCUAGUUGGCGGGGUAACGGCCCACCAAGGCGACGAUCAGUAGGGGUUCUGAGAGGAAGGUCCCCCACAUUGGAACUGAGACACGGUCCAAACUCCUACGGGAGGCAGCAGUGAGGAAGAUUGGUAAAUGGGCGAGAGCCUGAACCAGCCAAGUAGCGUGCAGGAUGACGGCCCUAUGGGUGGUAAACUGCUUUUAGGCGGGGAUAAAGUGAGGGACGUGUCCUUCAUUGCAGGUACCGCAUGAAUAAGGACCGGCUAAUUCCGUG
rnacentral:rRNA from 1 species